GACGAACGCUGGCGGCGUGCUUAACACAUGCAAGUCGAACGGAAAGGCCCUGCUUUUGUGGGGUGCUCGAGUGGCGAACGGGUGAGUAACACGUGAGUAACCUGCCCUUGACUUUGGGAUAACUUCAGGAAACUGGGGCUAAUACCGUAUAGGAGCUCCUGCUGCAUUGUGGGGGUUGGAAAGUUUCGGCUGGUGGGGAUGGACUCGCGGCUUAUCAGCUUGUUGGUGGGGUAGUGGCUUACCAAGGCUUAGACGGGUAGCCGGCCUGAGAGGGUGACCGGCCACAUGGGGACUGAGAUACGGCGCAGACGCCUACGGGAGGCAGCAGUGGGGAAUAUUGCACAAUGGGCGGAAGCCUGAGGCAGCAACGCCGCGGUCGGGAUGACGGCCUUCGGGUUGUAAACCGCUUUCGCCUGUGACGAAGCGGGAGUGACGGUAAUGGGUAAAGAAGCACCGGCUAACUACGUG
rnacentral:rRNA from 1 species